UAAUAAUAGCACCUGACAUUUAUUGAGU
rnacentral:piRNA from 1 species